GACGAACGCUGGCGGCGUGCUUAACACAUGCAAGUCGAACGGAAAGGCCCUGCUUGCAGGGUACUCGAGUGGCGAACGGGUGAGUAACACGUGGGUGAUCUGCCCUGCACUUCGGGAUAAGCUUGGGAAACUGGGUCUAAUACCGGAUAGGAGCCAUCUUUAGUGUGGUGGUUGGAAAGUUUUUUCGGUGUAGGAUGAGCUCGCGGCCUAUCAGCUUGUUGGUGGGGUAAUGGCCUACCAAGGCGGCGACGGGUAGCCGGCCUGAGAGGGUGUACGGCCACAUUGGGACUGGGAUACGGCCCAGACUCCUACGGGAGGCAGCAGUGGGGAAUAUUGCACAAUGGGCGCAAGCCUGAUGCAGCGACGCCGCGUGGGGGAUGAAGGCCUUCGGGUUGUAAACUCCUUUCGCUAGGGACGAAGCUUUGUUGUGACGGUACCUAGAUAAGAAGCACCGGCUAACUACGUG
rnacentral:rRNA from 1 species